rnacentral:lncRNA from 1 species
GUCCUACAUUUGUGCAAUACUUUGUAAAAUACUGUACAGAAAGGUUGUAGCCUUUCAAACUUUUUACCAGGUACCUGAUAGCAAGAAAUUGAUUGUAAACAUUCACUGUGUGCCAAACACUAGGUUACGUAAGCACUUUACAAAUAUUUAUCAGGGAAAAUAUUGAAGCUGACAAUUACUGCCUCCCCUUCCAAAAACAAAGCAGAGCCAAGAACCCCCUCUACACGCUGAAAAAAGAUGAUGUGUGGGGAUGCACACAAGGAAGAAGAAGCAGAAAGACCCAAAGGAGCUUCACCUGGCUGAAGAAUAAAUAUGAGGAAGAAAUACAACAACUGUAAAGCAAAGUUUAUGCGCAUGCAGCAAUAAUGAGGCCAUCACAGUGACAUAACCAGAAGAAGACCAAGAGCACUUUAGUCUUUCAGUGAAUAAAGGGUGUUCACAAAAAUCCUUAUACAGGAC